AUUCAAAAAAUAGAUUCUUUUCUGAUUUUCAAAAUAUCUCCAAUAAAUCUUUAUUCGCCUCAUCUCGAAAUUCGUAUCAUCUAUAUUCAAAAAUUAAGUUAAUAUAUUUGAUUUAAUAAGCGUAUUUUCUGGUAUAUUUAAAAAUACUGUAAUAUUUUUUAAUAAAAACGAAGAAGAUUUAGAGAAAUUUCAUUUGAAGGAUAUGUAGGGAAUGAAAAUAUGGUAUAACUGGCGAUCCUAGUGUAUUAUAUCUUUUAGAUGUUAGAGAUUUGUUUAUCUGAAGUGAUUCUAUACAUCUAACAGUAUUUGUAUGAUAUUGCAAAGUCAUGUCACAAAUUUGUAAAUAUAUAUAAAAACAUUAUAUAUAUAUAUAUAUAUAUAUAUAUAUAUAUACACAUAGAAAGUAAAACAGAUAUAUAAAUAUAUAUAAAAUAUAAAACAAUUCACGUAAUCGUAGUUUCAAUUCUAAUUAUAUCGUAAUAAGCGUUUAUAACAACAAUAAAUUAUUUCAUUAAAAACAUUUUUAUGGAUAAUAACAGCGAGCUUCAAAAUGAUAUUUAGCUUGAUUGACGUUUCGUAAGACUAUUUAAAAAUAAAUAAAAUGUCUCCCGGGCGUACGUCUUACUGUCUUUCGCUGAUUUUCGGAAUUCUCUUCCUUAGAUUAAAGUCUUUACGAUGAGACUCUCGUGGCGCGAUGCAGAUAGGGAUUUCAGGAAACAUUUACCAGGUGGUGAAACCACAGAACGUCAGUUAACAGAAACCUUGCAUUCUGUGAAAACUGGUUUCAAACCAUUGCCUGGUUUUGAUCCAGAGCGGGAUGAUGUUGCAUAUUAUUGUGCACAACAAAAAAUCGAUUGUGAUGAAGUAUAUCCUGGAAUAUAUAUAGGAGAUGGUGCCACAGCAAAAAAUAAAAGUUAUCUCGCGAUGCUUGGUAUAACACAUUUACUUAAUGCUGCAGAAGGGAAGAAAUUUGGAUUUGUAAAUACUGAUAAAAAUUAUUAUAUAAAUACAACAAUAAAAUAUCUUGGAUUACCACUGGGUGAUCAUCCAACUGUUGACAUAAGCAAGUAUUUCUACACUGCAGCAUCUUUUAUCGAUGAAGCUGUUUCUAGUAAUGGUAAAGUUUUUGUACACUGUAUGCUGGGCAUAUCUCGCAGUGCAACAUGCGUCUUAGCAUACUUGAUGAUAAAGAAGAAUAUGUUGGCUGUUGAUGCAAUAAGAAUAGUCCGAGAAAAACGCGAUAUUCAUCCGAAUUAUGGAUUUCGCAGUCAAUUAGUUCAACUGGAUAAUCAACUGCGUCGACAACGUUUAUAAUAAAAAGAAAAAAAUUUAAUUGAAGCUCUUUGGAAUUUAUAUUUUCUGGCUCAAUGACCGAAGACGAUUCAAUUGGACAUUACCUCUCUUCUUGUUUACAUCUUGCGAUGUUUAUAUAUUCGACACAUGGAAGAUACUCAUUGGAUCAUUUACGUUUAAAAAAACCGCUAAUUCAUGUUUUGACUCACUGGAACUCAAUAUACGGUAUGUUACAGCGAUUUAUAGAGCACAAAGAGUUUUGAAACGAAAAUUAAAAAAAUGAUAGCUUUAUUGAAAGAGGAAUGUAUCAAGAUCAAAAAUAUUGUAAAAGUACUAACUUAUUUGAAUGAAAUCACAUUGAAAUUGCAGAAAGGUCAAUUAUUUUUAGGAAAUUUUUAUAAAUUGUGGUUAAAUCUUAAAUUAUAAUUAAAAAUCAAGAAUUCGAUUGCAGCUGCAGUGAUCUUUUAUUAUGUAGGAAAAAAAACUGCUACUGUUAAAAAAUGAUGUAGUUUAUGGUUUUUUAAAAUCUACGGUUUAAAAGUCUAUUGCAGUAGAGCAAAAGGCGAAGGUUAGGAAACAUCGUCGAUUAAUACUUCGUCUUCUAAGUAUUAAUAAUUGGAGAACUCUUCCAAGGAUACUCCUAACCAAAACGAAAUUUUUGUCACCGAUAAUGGACGCCAGUAACCAAAAAAUAAUUCUUGCAAGCAAUAAUGGUUACUGGUAACCAAAAAAUAAUUCACGAUAAUGGUCAUUAGUAAUAAAAAAAAUUUUAGUCAUUUAUAUUAUUUAUAACCACGCAUUAUAUUAUUCAUAAAAUACGCAAAUUUUAAUAUUUUCUAAUCAUUUCAUUUUUCGAAAAGUUUCUGCAAAAUUUAAUGUCAACUGACUUUCAUUUAAAUAAAAAUUGUUAUUUUUGGUUUAUGUUUAA